rnacentral:lncRNA from 1 species
GAAGACCAUGCCUGACAAAAUGUGCUGCCUGAAAGUAGCCUGUGAAUUUAUCUUUUUUGGCCUGGCCAGGCACACAACAAAAUUGUUGUUUGGUUGACAUCUUUUGCCUGAGCAAAAACUAGUAGAGAAUAGUGAAGUAGUCAGCUCAGGCACACUCCGUUUAUAGAAGCCAGAGCUCAGGCGCACGAAUUUGAUGGCCUG